UACGUAGGGUGCAAGCGUUGUCCGGAAUUAUUGGGCGUAAAGGGCUCGUAGGCGGUCUGUUGCGUCGGGAGUGAAAACUUACAGCUUAACUGUGAGCGUGCUUUCGAUACGGGCAGACUUGAGGCAUUCAGGGGAGAACGGAAUUCCUGGUGUAGCGGUGAAAUGCGCAGAUAUCAGGAGGAACACCGGUGGCGAAGGCGGAUCUCUGGGCCUUACCUGACGCUCAGGUGCGAAAGCUAGGGGAGCGAACAGG
rnacentral:rRNA from 1 species